rnacentral:rRNA from 1 species
GACGGAGGGGCAAGCGUUGUCUGGACUCACUGGGCGUAAAGGGUGCGUAGGCGGCUUCGGGCGUCCACGCUGAAAUCUCUCGGCUUAACCGAGGGGCGCGUGUGGAUACGCCGAGCUCGAGGCAUGGAGAGGAUGGGGGAACGUCCUGGUGGUAGUGGUGGAAAUGACGUAGAGAUCAGGAAGAACACCCGUGGCGCAAGCGCCCAUCCUGGCCAUGACCUGACGCUGUGGCACGAAAGCGUGGGGAGCGAACCGG